rnacentral:rRNA from 1 species
CCUACGGGGUGCAGCAGUGGGGAAUAUUGCACAAUGGGGGCAACCCUGAUGCAGCGACGCCGCGUGAGUGAAGAAGUGUUUCGGCACGUAAAGCUCUAUCAGCAGGGAAGAACAUGACGGUACCUGACUAAGAAGCCCCGGCUAACUACGUGCCAGCAGCCGCGGUAAUACGUAGGGGGCAAGCGUUAUCCGGAUUUACUGGGUGUAAAGGGAGCGUAGACGGCUGUGCAAGUCAGAUGUGAAAGCCCGGGGCUCAACCCCAGGACUGCAUUUGAAACUGGGUGGCUGGAGUGCCGGAGAGGCAGGCGGAAUUCCUGGUGUAGCGGUGGAAUGCGUAGAUAUUAGGAGGAACACCAGUGGCGAAGGCGGCCUGCUGGACGGCAACUGACGUUGAGGCUCGAAAGCGUGGGGAGCAAACAGGAUUAGAUACCCGGGUAGUC